CCCGAUAGACAAACCACGGCUCAUGGACAUUCAGCACAGUACGUAAACAGAGGAUUAAAUGUAAUUUAUCAUAGCCAAGCCUCAGCGCAUGGACUUUCAGCCCAGAACGUAAACAGAGGAUUAUAUGAAUAUCCUUAUAGCGAAAUUACAGCGUAUGGACUCCCAGCCCAGAACGUAAACAGAGGAUUAAAUGAAUAUCCAUAUAGCGAAAUUACGGCGCAAGGAUUUUCAGUGAAGAACGUAAACAGACCAUCAAAUGAAAAUUAUAAUAGUCAAGAUAUGACGACGCAUGAACCAUCAGACCUACCAAAGAACGAUAAUAAGAUUACAUCUCCUUAUGACGAACUAGAAAACCACGUUCAACCGAUAACGGAAGAAGACUCUGACGACGAGGACAAAGACGGACACCAGUUUACGGACGCUAUUGAAAGCGUUUAAAAAAAAAAAAAAAUGGCUGUGGAUUUAUAUGCUCCUGGAUGAAAAUAACACAAAACAGCACACCAAUAACUGAACAGUGUCCCCAGUCAAUGACGUGUGGUGUAGUCUCACACGUAACGAUUAGAAUUUAUCGUGUUAAUGUGUUAUUGAAAAGAUCAUGUCACGUAUAUUCUGUUUGUUGCUAUGAUAUUUUAUAUCAGAGUGUAACGUUUCUACCAUGUUUUAUUUCACAUCUUUACAUACCCCCCAGUCUGUCAACCAAUGAUGUAUAAAAACAGUUCCACAAGCGCCUUAACAAUUGGCAUAAAACACGUCAGGCUGCAUUUGACCCAAAGUUGUUACAGGAAUUUAAACGGUCUCGUUUUAAAGUCAGUUUUUCGUAAAUUCUAUGGUCGUUAUAACGAUCUUGUUUGCCAAUACAGGCUCUGGUUAUCCAGUGUUUGCCAAGCUCUCUAAUUGUAUUCCUUGUAGGAGUUAUGAGAUUGAUCACUGUUCCUUAUCUCCACCUUGUCAUGACAGAUAUACAUACAUUAUUUAUAUGAAUAACCAAUUUAUGCUUAUACAUUAUGUAUGUGUUUAUCGCGGUUGAGUUUCCUUUUACGAUAAUUCCAUGUGUUUGAUGCAUGUGCAUCCAGUGCUCGGUAUUUCUCCUCAAAGAUGCACACUUACAUUUUCAAACUUUUAAGGCAAUAUCUGCAUCGUUGGAAACUAUUCGUCUGACCCCAUGCGAUAUGUUCCAUAUCUACCAUUUGUUAUGCACACUUAUGCAUUGAUACAAUAUUUAUUUUGUAGACUUUUCCCUUUCAUUCAUGACUUUAUUUGCCUUGAGACUAUUUUUUUCAUUUUAUGCCAUUUAUAAUUUUUAUGCUUACGUU